UACAGAGGGUGCGAGCGUUGUCCGGAAUCACUGGGCGUAAAGGGUGCGUAGGUGGCUUGGUAAGCGUGUGGUGAAAGUCCGGGGCUCAACCCCGGAUCUGCCGUGCGAACUGCCGAGCUCGAGCAAUGUAGAGGCAGGUGGAAUUUCGGGUGUAGCGGUGGAAUGCGUAGAGAUCCGAAAGAACACCAGUGGCGAAGGCGGCCUGCUGGGCAUUAGCUGACACUGAGGCACGACAGCGUGGGGAGCAAACAGG
rnacentral:rRNA from 1 species